AAUGGGAGUAAGACACAGGGAUUGCCUCAGUAACUGCGAGUGAAGCGGCAAAAGCUCAAAUUUGAAAUCUGGUACCUCUGGGUGCUCGAGUUGUAAUUUGGAGAGGCAACUUCGGAGGGGGCGCUGGCCUAAGUUCCUUGGAACAGGACGUCACAGAGGGUGAGAAUCCCGUGCUUGGCUGGCUGUCCUCCUUCAUGUGAAGUGUCUUCGACGAGUCGAGUUGUUUGGGAAUGCAGCUCAAAAUGGGUGGUAAACUCCAUCUAAGGCUAAAUACUGGCGAGAGACCGAUAGCGCACAAGUAGAGUGAUCGAAAGAUGAAAAGCACUUUGAAAAGAGAGUUAAACAGUACGUGAAAUUGUUGAAAGGGAAGCGCUUGAGACCAGACUCGGUGAUUGGUGAUCAGCGGUAGCUUCUGCUCCGUGCACUUGCCUUUUACUGGGCCAGCAUCAGUUGCGACGGCAGGAUAAAGGCUCAGGGAAUGUGGCUCUCUUCGGGGAGUGUUAUAGCCCUGGGUGUAAUGCUGCCUGCCGCGACUGAGGACCGCGCUUCGGCUAGGAUGCUGGCAUAAUGGUCUUCAGCGACCCGUCUUGAAACACGGACCAAGGAGUCUAACAUCUAUGCGAGUGUUCGGGUGUAAAACCCCUGCGCGUAAUGAAAGUGAACGGAGGUGGGAACUCUUUGGAGUGCACCAUCGACCGAUCCUGAUGUCUUCGGAUGGAUUUGAGUAGGAGCAUAGCUGUUGGGACCCGAAAGAUGGUGAACUAUGCCUGAAUAGGGUGAAGCCAGAGGAAACUCUGGUGGAGGCUCGCAGCGGUUCUGACGUGCAAAUCGAUCGUCAAAUUUGGGUAUAGGGGCGAAAGACUAAUCGAACCAUCUAGUAGCUGGUUCCUGCGAGU
rnacentral:rRNA from 1 species